GUGCUCACUUUGGCAGCACAUACACUAAAAUUGGAACAAUAGAGAUUAACAUGACCCUUGCCCAAGGAUGACACGCAAAUUUGUGAAGCAUUUCAUGUUAAA